UAUAGAUCCAGGGUAUGGUCUAUGGUAUAGAUCCAGGGUAUGGAUCCAGGGUAUGGUCUAUGGUAUAGAUCCAGGGUAUGGUCUAUGGUAUAGAUCCAAGGUAUGGUCUAUGGUAUGGAUCCAGGGUAUGGUCUAUGGUAUGGAUCCAGGGUAUGGUCUAUGGUAUGGAUCCAGGGUAUGGUCUAUGGUAUGGAUCCAGGGUAUGGUCUAUUAUAUGGAUCCAGGGUAUGGUCUAUGGUAUGGAUCCAGGGUAUGGUCUAUGGUAUAGAUCCAGGGUAUGGUCUAUGGUAUGGAUUCAGGGUAUGGAUCCAGGGUAUGGAUCCAGGGUAUGGUCUAUGGUAUGGAUCCAGGGUAUGGUCUAUGGUAUGGAUCCAGGGUAUGGAUCCAGGGUAUGGUCUAUGGUAUGGAUCCAGGGUAUGGAUCCAGGGUAUGGUCUAUGGUAUAGAUCCAGGGUAUGGUCUAUGGUAUAGAUCCAGGAUAUGGUCUAUGGUAUAGAUCCAGGGUAUGGUCUAUGGUAUGGAUCCAGGGUAUGGUCUAUGGUAUGGAUCCAGGGUAUGGUCUAUGGUAUGGAUCCAGGAUAUGGUCUAUGGUAUGGAUCCAGGAUAUGGUCUAUGGUAUGGAUCCAGGGUAUGGUCUAUGGUAUAGAUCCAGGGUAUGGAUCCAGGGUAUGGUCUAUAGUAUAGAUCCAGGGUAUGGUCUAUGGUAUAGAUCCAGGGUAUGGAUCCAGGGUAUGGUCUAUGGUAUGGAUCCAGGGUAUAGUCUAUGGUAUAGAUCCAGGGUAUGGUCAAUGGUAUGGAUCCAGGGUAUGGUCUAUGGUAUAGAUCCAGGGUAUGUCUAUGGUAUAGAUCCAGGGUAUGGUCUAUGGUAUAGAUCCAGGGUAUGGUCUAUGGUAUGGAUCCAGGGUAUGGUCUAUGGUAUGGAUCCAGGGUAUGGUCUAUGGUAUAGAUCCAGGGUAUGGUCUAUGGUAUGGAUCCAGGGUAUGGUCUAUGGUAUAGAUCCAGGGUAUGGUCUAUGGUAUAGAUCCAGGGUAUGGUCUAUGGUAUGGAUCCAGGGUAUGGUCUAUGGUAUGGAUCCAGGGUAUGGUCUAUGGUAUAGAUCCAGGGUAUGGUCUAUGGUAUAG
rnacentral:lncRNA from 1 species